rnacentral:rRNA from 1 species
UGGGGAAUAUUGCACAAUGGGGGAAACCCUGAUGCAGCAACGCCGCGUGAGGGAAGAAGGUUUUCGGAUUGUAAACCUCUGUCCCUGGUGACGAAGACAGUGACGGUAACCAGGGAGGAAGCCACGGCUAACUACGUGCCAGCAGCCGCGGUAAUACGUAGGUGGCAAGCGUUGUCCGGAUUUACUGGGUAUAAAGGGAGCGCAGGCGGGAGAGCAAGUCAGCGGUGAAAUACAUGGGCUUAACCCAUGAACUGCCGUUGAAACUGUUUUUCUUGAGUGAAGUAGAGGCAGGCGGAAUUCCGAGUGUAGCGGUGAAAUGCGUAGAUAUUCGGAGGAACACCAGUGGCGAAGGCGGCCUGCUGGGCUUUUACUGACGCUGAGGCUCGAAAGCGUGGGGAGCAAACAGGAUUAGAUACCCUGGUAGUCCACGCUGUAAACGAUGAUUGCUAGGUGUGGGGGGUCUGACCCCUUCCGUGCCGGAGUUAACACAAUAAGCAAUCCCACCUGGGGAGUACGACCGCAAGGUUGAAACUCAAAGGAAUUGACGGGGGCCCGCACAAGCAGUGGAGUAUGUGGUUUAAUUCGAAGCAACGCGAAGAACCUUACCAGGUCUUGACAUCCGACUAACGAAGUAGAGAUACAUUAGGUGCCCUUCGGGGAAAGUCGAGACAGGUGGUGCAUGGUUGUCGUCAGCUCGUGUCGUGAGAUGUUGGGUUAAGUCCCGCAACGAGCGCAACCCUUACCGUUAGUUGCUACGCAAGAGCACUCUAAUGGGACCGCCAUCGACAAGAUGGAGGAAGGUGGGGACGACGUCAAAUCAUCAUGCCCCUUAUGACCUGGGCUACACACGUACUACAAUGGCCGUUAACAGAGGGAAGCAAUACCGCGAGGAGGAGCAAACCCCUAAAAACGGUCUCAGUUCAGAUUGCAGGCUGCAACCCGCCUGCAUGAAGUCGGAAUUGCUAGUAAUCGCGGAUCAGCAUGCCGCGGUGAAUACGUUCCC